rnacentral:rRNA from 1 species
CCUACGGGUGGCAGCAGUGAGGAAUAUUGGUCAAUGGACGAGAGUCUGAACCAGCCAAGUAGCGUGAAGGAUGACUGCCCUAUGGGUUGUAAACUUCUUUUAUAAAGGAAUAAAACGAUGCACGUGUGCCUUUUUGCAUGUACUUUAUGAAUAAGGAUCGGCUAACUCCGUGCCAGCAGCCGCGGUAAUACGGAGGAUCCGAGCGUUAUCCGGAUUUAUUGGGUUUAAAGGGAGCGCAGGCGGAGGCACAAGUCAGCGGUAAAAUCGCGGGGCUCAACCCCGCUCCGCCGUUGAAACUGUGUCCCUUGAGUGCGCGAAGGGUAGGCGGAAUGCGUGGGGUAGCGGUGAAAUGCAUAGAUAUCACGCAGAACUCCGAUCGCGAAGGCAGUCUACCGGCGCGCAACUGACGCUCAUGCACGAAAGCGUGGGUAUCGAACAGGAUUAGAUACCCCGGUAGUC